rnacentral:siRNA from 1 species
AUACAAUUCAAGGUUCUAUCCAUC